GAUGAACGCUAGCGGCAGGCCUAAUACAUGCAAGCCGAACGGCAAGUCUUUAGCAAUAGAAGACCUAGAGUGGCGUAAGGGUGCGUAACACGUAUGCAAUCUGCCCUCAACAGGAGGAUAGCUCCCCGAAAGGGGAUUAAGCCUCCAUAGGAUCGUAAUGUGGCAUCACAUAGCGAUUAAACUACCAGGGGUUGAGGAUGAGCAUGCGCAUGAUUAGUUAGUUGGCGGGGUAACGGCCCACCAAGACGACGAUCAGUAGCUGGUCUGAGAGGAUGAUCAGCCACACUGGGACUGAGACACGGCCCAGACUCCUACGGGAGGCAGCAGUAGGGAAUAUUGGACAAUGGGCGAAAGCCUGAUCCAGCCAUGCCGCGUGAGUGAUGAAGGCCUUAGGGUUGUAAAGCUCUUUCGGCGGGGACGAUAAUGACGGUACCCGCAGAAGAAGCCCCGG
rnacentral:rRNA from 1 species